GGCCCGCACAAGCGGUGGAGCAUGUGGUUUAAUUCGACGCAACGCGAAGAACCUUACCAGGUCUUGACAUCCUCGGAACUUGGCAGAGAUGCCUUGGUGCCUUCGGGAGCCGAGUGACAGGUGCUGCAUGGCCGUCGUCAGCUCGUGUCGUGAGAUGUUGGGUUAAGUCCCGUAACGAGCGCAACCCCUAUCCCUAGUUGCUAGCAGUUCGGCUGAGAACUCUAGGGAGACUGCCGGUGACAAACCGGAGGAAGGUGGGGAUGACGUCAGGUCAUCAUGGCCCUUACGGCCAGGGCUACACACGUGCUACAAUGGUGCGCACA
rnacentral:rRNA from 1 species